CAGUCGCCGCGGUAAUACGUAGGGUGCGAGCGUUAAUCGGAAUUACUGGGCGUAAAGCGUGCGCAGGCGGUUAUAUAAGACAGAUGUGAAAUCCCCGGGCUCAACCUGGGACCUGCAUUUGUGACUGUAUAGCUAGAGUACGGUAGAGGGGGAUGGAAUUCCGCGUGUAGCAGUGAAAUGCGUAGAUAUGCGAGGAACACCGAUGGCGAAGGCAAUCCCCUGGACCUGUACUGACGCUCAUGCACGAAAGCGUGGGGAGCAAACAGGAUUAGAUACCCCAGUAGUCCCUGUCUCUUAUACA
rnacentral:rRNA from 1 species